UCCACACCGUAAACGAUGAAUGCCAGUCGUCGGAUAGCAUGCUAUUCGGUGACACACCUAACGGAUUAAGCAUUCCGCCUGGGGAGUACGGUCGCAGGAAUUAAAACUCAAAGGAAUUGGACGGGGGCCCGCACAAGCGGUGGAGCAUGUGGUUUAAUUCGAAGCAACGCGCAGAACCUUACCAACCCUUGACAUACCUAUCGCGGAUCGUAGAGAUACUUUCCUUCAGUUCG
rnacentral:rRNA from 1 species